CCUACGGGAGGCAGCAGUGAGGAAUAUUGGUCAAUGGGCGUAAGCCUGAACCAGCCAAGUAGCGUGAGGGAUGAAGGUUCUAUGGAUCGUAAACCUCUUUUAUAUGGGAAUAAAGUGUGGGACGUGUCCUAUUUUGUAUGUACCUUAUGAAUAAGGAUCGGCUAACUCCGUGCCAGCAGCCGCGGUAAUACGGAGGAUCCGAGCGUUAUCCGGAUUUAUUGGGUUUAAAGGGUGCGUAGGCGGACUUUUAAGUCAGCGGUGAAAGUUUGUGGCUCAACCAUAGAAUUGCCGUUGAAACUGGGGGUCUUGAGUACAUUGGAGGUAGGCGGAAUGCGUGGUGUAGCGGUGAAAUGCUUAGAUAUCACGCAGAACCCCGAUUGCGAAGGCAGCUCGCCAGGCCAUGACUGACGCUGAUGCACGAAAGCGUGGGGAUCAAACAGGAUUAGAUACCCGAGUAGUC
rnacentral:rRNA from 1 species